CAUGCGAGUCGAGAGGGUUCGGCCCUCGGCGUACUGCUCAGUAACACGUGGAUAACCUGCCCUAGGGAAGGGGAUAACCCCGGGAAACUGGGGAUAAUACCCUAUAGGUUACAGAUGCUGGAAUGCUCUGUAACCCAAAGUUCCGGCGCCCUAGGAUGGAUCUGCGGCCGAUUAGGUUGUUGUUGGGGUAAUGGCCCAACAAGCCAGUAAUCGGUACGGGUUGUGGGAGCAAGAGCCCGGAGUUGGAUUCUGAGACACGAAUCCAGGCCCUACGGGGCGCAGCAGGCGCGAAAACUUUACAAUGCGGGCAACCGUGAUAAGGGAACCUCGAGUGCCUGUAAAUGCAGGCUGUUUAGGUGUUUAAAACGCACCUGGAGAAAGGGCCGGGCAAGACCGGUGCCAGCCGCCGCGGUAAUACCGGCGGCUCGAGUGGUGGCCACUUUUAUUGGGCCUAAAGCGUUCGUAGCUGGGUUGUUAAGUCUCUUGGGAAAUCUGGCGGCUUAACCGUCAGGCGUCUAAGGGAUACUGGCAAUCUUGGAACCGGGAGAGGUGAGGGGUACUUCGGGGGUAGGAGUGAAAUCCUGUAAUCCUCGAGGGACCACCUGUGGCGAAGGCGCCUCACCAGAACGGCUUCGACAGUGAGGGACGAAAGCUGGGGGAGCAAACCGGAUUAGAUACCCGGGUAGUCCCAGCCGUAAACUAUGCGCGUUAGGUGUAUCGGUGACCACGAGUUACCGAGGUGCCGAAGGGAAACCGUGAAACGUGCCGCCUGGGAAGUACGGUCGCAAGGCUGAAACUUAAAGGAAUUGGCGGGGGAGCA
rnacentral:rRNA from 1 species